rnacentral:rRNA from 1 species
GUGGAUUAGAUACCCUGGUAGUCCACACCGUAAACGAUGAUCACUAGAUUUUGGCCGUAAGGUCAGAGUCCAAGCGAAAGUGUUUAGUGAUCCACCUGGGGAGUACGACCGCAAGGUUGAAACUCAAAGGAAUUGACGGGGGCCCGCACAAGCGGUGGAGCAUGUGGUUUAAUUCGAUGAUACGCGAGGAACCUUACCUGGGCUUGAAAGUUAGUGACCGCUCCUGAAAGGGAGCUUCCCGCAAGGGCACGAAACUAGGUGCUGCACGGCUGUCGACAACU